CUGACCAGGUGAUUGACCUUAGAUGCCCUGAUAAGUCACGCUCCUGAACUUCAGUCUAGCAUUCUUUCAUCCACCAUUUCUUGAGCACCUCCUCCACACCAGCACUGUGGUAGGAACCAGUAAAACCCAGAGAAAGGACAGAGUCCCUGCCCUCAGGGAGCUUCCAGACCAGCGUUGACCCAAGCCUGCACAGUGGUUAAAUAUCACACUUGUUAUGGCUGGCCUGAGGGGACAGCGAGCAUCCUCCACACUUACUGAAUCCGUACUGACCUCACAUUUAUAGUCUACCCACAGGAUCAGAAAAUCCAUUCAUCUGAGACCUGGGAGGAACCACAGACAUCAUCAUAUCUAGUGGUUCUCGAUUUUGCCUGCAUACAAUCACCUGGAGAAGCUUUUAAAAAAUACUGAUCCCGGCUCCAACCCCCAGAGAUGUUCAUCGAGUUGGUCUGGAGCAGACGCCAGGCCUCAGGAUUUUUAAAGUUCGUCCAGGCCACAGGUCACUCCAUACCAACAGACUAUUAAAAUGAAGCUGCCGAUCCAUCACCUGGAAUCUGCUGAUGCAAACGCACUGAAAUUGAUCUAGGAGGAGG